UGGGGAAUAUUGCACAAUGGAGGGAACUCUGAUGCAGCGACGCCGCGUGAACGAAGAAGGCUUUCGAGUCGUAAAGUUCUUUUAUAUGGGAAGAUAAUGACGGUACCAUAAGAAAAAGCCCCGGCUAACUACGUGCCAGCAGCCGCGGUAAUACGUAGGGGGCUAGCGUUGUCCGGAAUCACUGGGCGUAAAGGGUUCGCAGGCGGAAAUGCAAGUCAGGUGUAAAAGGCAGUAGCUUAACUACUGUAAGCAUUUGAAACUGCAUAUCUUGAGAAGAGUAGAGGUAAGUGGAAUUUUUAGUGUGGCGGUGAAAUGCGUAGAUAUUAAAAAGAAUACCGGUGGCGAAGGCGACUUACUGGGCUCAUUCUGACGCUGGGGAACGAAAGCGUGGGUAGCAAACAGG
rnacentral:rRNA from 1 species